CACAACACUGAAUUUACCCCGUAUAUAGAUAUAUGGAUAUAUUGUCGUAUCUGCUUUGAGAUUCGUCAACAUGGAGGAUACAGAUCCUAAUACGGGCAAACCCUUUGCAACGAGUGACCCAGACAGACCAACAACGGACCAAAACAAUUCUGUUAGUACCAGGGAUGUCGGUAAGGCGGAGGAAGAGCCGGAGCGAGGGAAUUGGACAGGAAAACUGGACUUCCUGUUGUCAUGUAUAGGAUAUGCAGUAGGAUUGGGAAAUGUGUGGCGUUUUCCCUAUCUCUGUUACAGGAACGGAGGGGGUGCUUUCCUCGUUCCCUAUGUCAUCAUGUUGUUGGUGGCUGGUCUACCUCUUUUCUUCCUGGAGCUAUGUGUGGGUCAGUUCUCCUCUCAGGGGCCUGUUACUGCCUGGGCACUCAGUCCACUUUUCAUGGGUAUCGGCUGGGCCAUGAUUUUGAUCAGUGCCAUGGUGUGUACGUAUUACAACGUCAUCAUCAUGUACGCCGUCUAUUACAUGUUCGUGUCCUUCGUCAACCUUGACGACGAGUUGCCAUGGCAGAAAUGUGGAAAAGCCUGGAACACGGAUAAGUGUAGGGAUGAACCGUACCCUGACCUUUCAUCUAUGAAUGAGACGAUGAAGGUCAACGCUACACUAGGACUGAAAGACCAGACAUGUCUGUCUAAUAUACUGGGAACUCUAAGUACGCUACUCAACCAAACCUUCACAUCUGUAUCACAACUCAACUCCACAGUCCUAGCAGAUCAUACCGAAGACUGUGAUAUCAAAUUCGCGACAGCUAGUAGCGAAUACUGGAAUCGGUACGUACUGAGGGUUCACGAGUCUGACGGUCUUGAAGACAUCGGAAGUGUGAGUCUGAAAAACGUCCUCUGUCUCCUUAUCUGCUGGCUCUUCAUCUUCUUCUGUCUCAUGAAAGGUGUCAAGUCAUCGGGAAAGGUAGUAUAUUUCACCGCCACCUUCCCUUACGUCGUCCUCCUCAUUCUGCUGAUCCGUGGCGUCACCCUCCCAGGCUACUACAAAGGAAUCGAGUUCUACAUCUUCCCUAAAUGGGAGCUGCUGAAAAACCCAAAGGUAUGGGGGGAUGCUGCCACCCAGAUAUUUUACUCGCUCGGACCAGCCUUUGGGGGUCUUCUCACCAUGGCUAGUUACAAUAAGUUUAACAACAACUGUCUGCGUGACGCUGUGAUUGUAUCGUUCAUCAACUGUGGUACCAGUGUGUUUGCUGGCUUCGCUAUUUUCUCACUACUUGGUUACAUUUCCCAUACCACCAACGUGCCAAUCGAUAAGGUGGCAGAUAGCGGUCCAGGGUUGGCCUUCAUUGCCUACCCAGAAGGCAUUGCCAAACUGCCCAGUCCACCAAUAUUCGCCUUCCUCUUCUUCUUCAUGUUGUUUACUCUCGGACUUGACAGCCAGUUCGCCAUGAUGGAGACAGUCAUCAGCGGCAUCACAGACGUGUUUCCUAGGCAGCUAAGGAGUAGAAAGGCGCUCUUUACAUUCUUCUGCUGUAUGGUGGGGUUCGUAUUGGGUAUACCCCAGACGUGUAAGGGAGGUAUAUACCUGCUCACACUUGUUGAUUGGUACUCUGGUAGCUACAAUCUCAUGAUCGUCAGCUUCGUUGAAAUUGUAGGAAUUAUCUACGUAUACGGAAUCAAUAACUUCCGCCAAGAUAUCGAACUGAUGUUGGGAAAAAAAAGUCCGAUUGUAUGGGCUUAUUUCUACACGAUGUGGUUCGUCGUUACUCCACUAGCCAUUUUUUUCAUCGUGAUCAUGAUGGCUAUCAAUUACUCACCCGCCGUGCUGGGAGACUACACUUUCCCACCCUUUGCUGAGGCCAUCGGCUGGAUGAUGGUAUUGGCGCCCCUUAUGCUAAUCAUAAUUGGUGCAAUAGUCCAGAUUGUGAGGAAGGGAGGGGUUAGUGCCGCCAUCAAAUCAGAACCACAUUGGGGUCCUUCCGCUGACAAGGACCGCAAAGGCCCAAGAUAUGCCCCCAUUCAGAACCUACAAGCCGUCCCUGGAGGAAACGGCCACUUCCCAUCAAAUGUAGGCUACAACAGCGACAAGGGUAACCUCUACAUGGUUGGGCAGGACAACAAAGGCAUGAACCCGGACGCGGAACGGCUUUAAUACUGUAAUGAACGUCUGAUCGCCGGAAGCUGAUGACAGUUACAAGCGACAACUGACUGCUAACAAAACACAGGAAGUUCUCUUGGCCAUCUGUACUAGACCACCAAUAUGGAAUGUACGCCAUGGCCCUAUUAAACUUAGCUUGCAUUCAUAAGGAUGAGUCUGUGCUUGAAGUCAAUAUUCGCAUGACCGCCUUUUUCUAUAUAGAUAUUUAGUCCGACCCGCUGACUUUUCACGCAGUUUUAUGUGUGUCAUGCGACCAUUAGUAGGUAGUGUACGGAUAUAGAAGGAAAGGGCACACAUUCCCCUAAACUCAGACAACAAUUCAAUUUGUUUCAAAACCUGGUAUUUUAAAAGUAUUGUAUGUAUCUACCCCUAGAAUAUAUAAAGUGUCUCCUUAGAAUUCGAGUGGACUUUACAAUGCUCCAGCACACACACACGCACGCCAUAUUGAAGCUGUAUCACAUGUGUCCCCUAUCAUCAACAUGAAAUCCUGUAGUUAAUGGCGCGAAACGGUGAACCGAUCACGAUAUGUUUCUAUCUAUCAGACAGUUUAAGAACAAUUCGAAUGCUUCCUAUUUGACGCCAUUUCUAUCUUUUGAAGAAAGUCGUUUUUUUAUUGGCAAAUACAAAUUUCAAAACGAAAUAUACAAUAUACCAUGUGUAUUGCCACACCAAUGAGUGGAGUGUUUUUUACUCUGUGAAAUCCAGCUACAUAGUAUGGUAAUAUAUAAUGAUAUAAUUCUCAUAUGCUCAAGUACAUUCGGAACUUACAUGUAACAUAGAAAAGCACAUGUUGUACUGGUUAUAUUUGUUUCCUAUCUAACGUCUUCAUGUAACUAUGUUAGAUAUGUUUGCUCUUCAUUGACUGUGUAACUAGUCUAUUGGUUAUUUUUAUAAUUUAAUGCCUCGUGUUCAUUUUACAUAUCAAGUUAUACGUUUUAUUGCAGUAUACCUGACAAAAUUCACUUUAUUUUUUAUUUUAUUUUAAUGCAAAGAAUACAUUUUAUUUUGGGUGAAUUCGUAAGUGUCUGAUGUUACCUAUGAUAAUUGUCUUUUAACGUUAAAAUUUGGAAAAGUCACUGUGUCAGAAUGCAUGAACACGUGUUUCAUUUACGUUAUAGUAGAGUGUGUAACCUCCCUUAUUAAAAUAAAGCUAUUCCAUGUUAAUCAUAUAAUACACAUUUUAAUACGCAAAAAGUCAUUUAUGUUAAUAAGAGAUAAGUAGCCAUAUAAAAUGUCAUACUCCGAAAUGCAACGGUUAUAGCCAUAUACAAUCUGAUAUAAUGGAUAACAAAGGUAAUUAUCUAGACAGAAUACCAUGCUAUGGACAACAAUGAUAAUAAUUCGCCAUAUAGAAUCCUACAUUAUGGAAAACAACUUUAAUGUAAAAUCCUAUACAUACGACAUUUUGUGUGUGUUACAUGAGUUAAUAGUGCAUGAUAGCUAGGUUUUUUUCUGUAAGUGAAAAUUAAUGGUUUGCAGCCAGUCUUCUAUCAUCUAUAUAUAUGCGAAGGGUAAGCUACUUGCAGUAAUGGGAUCGAUAUUUUAACUAGAGAAAAUACAUCAAAGUAACACUGUGGUCUCCGCUAUACAAUUCAACUCACACUGCAGGGAGUUUGUAGAAUAGAAAUUUUGCGUAUUUUUUUUAUAACAGUCAGACCUCGUUUUCUCAAUGGAAAUGGAUCCUAAAAAACAUAGAAACGCACAGGGCAUUACUAAAUAUAGUCUAAUUAAAAGCUAAUUUUACCGAUAUCAUUUAACGAGGUCUGACUGCACUAUGCUUAAUUAGUUUGUAGAAUGUUCUGUGGACAGUAUUGUAGGUAUACCCGUGGACAGUAUUGUAGGUAUACCCGUGGACAGUAUUGUAGGUAUACCCGUGGACAGUUCCUCUUACAUGUUUCCUGUUAGUACUGUAUCAUGUGCACGUAAGAAAAUCUUUGUAUAUUAUAAGCAGAUAUUUUUAUUAAUAAAAUCUGAUAAUCCAU
rnacentral:misc_RNA from 1 species